rnacentral:rRNA from 1 species
GAUAUGGCUCAGAGCGAACGCUGGCGGCAGGCCUAACACAUGCAAGUCGAACGAACCUUUCGGGGUUAGUGGCGGACGGGUGAGUAACACGUGGGAACGUGCCUUUAGGUUCGGAAUAACUCAGGGAAACUUGUGCUAAUACCGAAUGUGCCCUUCGGGGAAAGAUUUAUCGCCUUUAGAGCGGCCCGCGUCUGAUUAGCUAGUUGGUUGAGGUAAUGGCUCACCAAGGCGACGAUCAGUAGCU